CGGAGUGUGGCUCAGCUUGGUAGAGCGCUACGUUCGGGACGUAGAGGCCGCGUGUUCGAAUCACGUCACUCCGA
rnacentral:tRNA from 1 species